AGGGUUUAAAUAAAAUGCAACCGAAACAACGUCGUUUUGAGGUGAAGGAGAAAAAUAAGAAGGGAAGAAAGAAACAGGCCAGCCUCAACAGAAUAACUUUGGGCCUCUUUUGAUUUGGGUUUUAUACCCAUUUAGGUAUAUCUUUGACUCAUUUUUAUUUUUUUUUAUUUUUUGGACUAUUUCAUUUUUUUAUUUUGAUUUUUUUGUUUUUAUUUUCAUUUUUAUUUAUUUAUUUAUUUAUUUUUCUUUCAUGCACAUAUUUUAACUUGGAAAAUUAUUUCAAAAAAUGAAAUAAAUAAUAAAAUAUUAAAAAACUCUUAAUCAUUUCUUUAUUUUUUAUUUUUUCAUGUAAAAUUAACUUAUGACAUGUUUUCAAAAAAUGCUAAUUAGGAAUAAUAAAAUUUUUAAAAAAUUAAUUAAAUUAAAAAAAUCAUAAAUAUUUAGAAUGAAACUUUUGAAAAGGAAAUUUUUAGGAAACUUACAAGUGGUAAUUUCCUUAAAAUUUUCAAAGUGAAAAUAACUUUGGGAUCUUGCAAAAGUAUUGGGAGUAAUCUCAAAAAUUAUUUUUAUAAGAAGGUUUAUUUCUAAAUAAUUAUUAAUAUAAAAUACUAAAAAUAAUUAAAACUUUUUGAAAACUAAAAAUUGCAUCUUGAUAUUUAUUUGAUUGGGUUAUAGCCAUUUUAUUUUAAUUAUGUAAAUGUAAAAAAACCCUUCCAGGAUGGAAUUUCAAGGAAGUUAUGGGUAGCAAUUUUGUUUUAAGUGAGAGAAUUUCCUGAAAAAUUCUACCCAAAUGUUGGAGAAUUUAGAAAAAUUUUUGAUAUAAAGGGUUUACAGAAAAAACACUUAAAAACAAUUUUAAGAAAAGAGAGAAUAAAAUAAAAUAUGGAAAUUAAAAUAAAAAGACAUAAAAUAUGUAAAUAAAUAGAAAUUCUAUCAUGAUGGAAUUUGAUUUUACUAUCAAAUAUUGAUAAAAUUUUGCAAAAUGAAUAUGAAUAAAAACUUUUAAAAAAUCAUAAUAUUACGGCAACAAAAUCUUCAUCCAUUAUAAAUCCCAUUAAAUAGCUUGGGUAUCCCCUAGUUAUACAUUAUGUUAAUCUAUCUUGCUAAUCAUAGGGAUGUUACUGUACAUUCUAAUCAUAUGGAUGUUUCCUUGAGAUCUUUUAGCUGCUUCUGAACUAAUAUCUGAUAUUUCCUCCAUCUUAAUCCUUUUCUUAUCAAUGAUUGCUUCCCCAAACCUAGAGCAAUGUCUAAUUGAGUUUCUGCUAGUGCUUUUCCUAACCUAGGACUUGGAUGUCUUUGCCCGGAGGAGAUUGGACUUCUUAUGUAUGAUAAUGUUGCUUCUACUCUGCCUUCACUUAGCUCCAUUUUCUUGACCAUGCUUUGAAGAUGAAGCUGAAAAUGUAAAACGGUUGUGCCAACCUCUCCUUCAUCAGUAUCGACAUUCCCCGCUUUAUCUUGUGCAUUAAUAUGUACUUCUCCAUGCAUAUUUUGCUUGUCU
rnacentral:lncRNA from 1 species